UUCAUUACACUUCGUUUACACCAACUCUUAACUGUACGUUAAUUGACGCUGUUAGUGUGGACAGUACCUACAUCAAAAACUAGACGUAAAGUUAACGGGGACACCAAUACAGUAUCGAAGUUGGUUUUAUUCUCUUUCUUCUUCGUCUUCUUCUGCUGCUCCUCUUUCUUCUGUUCUUCAUGUCUUUCUCCCUGUCAAACUCAAAUCUAAUGAAUAGAUUUCUUUUUGUGAAUGAUUCAUGUAAAUAUUUGAGAUCCAGAUAAAUCUAAGAAGAGGGUAAUGAAUCUGGAAGCUAAUUGAGCUCUGAAAAAAGAAGAAAUCAGAAGAAAUUAGGGAUUCUGCUAGAAUUGAAUAAGUUGUAUAUUUGGAAGAGGGGUUCGAUUGAGAAUAUGCAGAUGGAGAUUCGAGAUGGGUAUUGUGUGUUGAGAGUAAGGGAGGAGAUUUAGUCACUGAUUCUCUACUCACAUGGAAGAAUCAGUGAAUUAGGGUUUUAUGAGAACCAGUGAUGGUGAAGGAAUUGAGUUUCCAAGAUAAAAGUUACUAAUAAUUAAAUCUGGGGCUGUUUUGGGUUCGAUGUUGUGUGCUGUAAUUGGGGAUUUCUGGGUUCGAUUCAAAUCAGUGGAACCAUAUUGGUAAAUCCAUGAGAUGUAACUGAAUUAUGGCUACAGUUUUGGCUGUCCAAGAAACUUAAUCAAUUUUUCCCGUUUGUUUUUUCAAAAUCAAUAACUUUCUUUCUUUGAAAUUUUGUUCAAUCGGUUCUUCUGUUUCAGGAAGAUAUUGCCCGUCAUGAAACUUUACUCUAAAGUUUCAAUCAAACUUUUCAGGGAGAUUGCCUGAUAAAGAACCCAUGAUUGACAGAUUUCUCGGCCAGAAAAGAAAUGUUCAUGUAUUAGCAAAUCAAGGAAAAUUUAAGGUACAACCAUGUUCAUCUAUAGCAUCAAGCUCAAAAUCAAAGUGGUAAGUUGGGUUACAUAAAUACAACUUGCAAACAUUGCGUCAGGGUUAAAUUAGAUGUAACCGUUUUUGAAUUGUGAUAAUAAAUUGAUUUCUUUAAUAUGGGAGAAAGUUGCGAGUAUUCUCCUAAUUUUGAAUUAACAGGGAACCCUUUGUAAGGUAUACUUAUUUUUUCUGAUGAAAAUUGUAAGAUAUACAUCGGCUUAACUGUGUUUACCCAGAGGAAGUAUUCUGUGUUACCAGUAUCAAAAACCAAGAAUACAAAACAAAAUCAGAGUUUGGAGAAAUGAAAAAUUCGUAUGAAUAUGAAGGUGGUAUAGUUCGUUGUUUAUUGCUUAACUAUCUUCCAAAUCUUUAGGGACUUUUUAUAUGCUUACAUGAGCAUUAAGAAGCUUAGUUGUGGAUCCGUUAUCUACAUAUGUUUAGUAUACUGCACUUGACUAUUAAUUAAGCAGUUUUACUGCGAUUACUGACUAUAUUUGGUUAAGAAUCUAGGAGUACCUCUAAAUAUUAGUUUUUGGUGUUUGGUCUCCUCGCCAUACCAAAUUAAGAAUUUUGACCUUCAGUUUAGUUUUGUUGAGAUAAGUAACUCUAUUUUACCAUGGAUUCUAUAUGCUGUUGGCGCUACUGCAUGUAAAUGCUUUAGAUUUUACUUUGGUAAGAUUUCAUGAACUCUAAUUUGUUCUUUUUAAAUUGUUGACUAAUGUCCAAAAAAAUGUUCUAUAUCUUAAGUGGUCUUCCAAAUUUUUGUUCUUUUUUCAUUCUUUGUGCAUAAAAAUGGUAUGGUACUGUUUCUCUCACCUUGAAUUGUGCUCAUGACUUCGUUUCCUUCCGUAUUAUAAUGAAUAAAUUGUGAAGUAAGAACAGAACUUUCUAAAAGCAUGCAUGUUUUUAAGAAUUUGCAGUCUCUGAGUUAUAGGAUAACAUUUCGUCACUUACAGUAUCCACCAUUCGUUGUGUAACAUGCAUUGUUUUGUAUUGUAUGGUUCCUCAAAUUAGUCUUCCUAUGGAAGUUAGUCCAAAUCUCCUCCCUAAGAGGACUCUCUGCCAAACUCAUCUAAGACUGAAACUUGAUGUUGGCAGUUUGGUGAUCUAGGACCUUACCAAGAUUCAUAUACAAUGGCCUAACCCAACCAAACUUAACCUAAAUCUCAUGUGCAAGCAUAAUUUGAUGGACUCUCUGAUGAACGUUUAUAUUUUUGUGUGUUUGCAGGCAUAGACACUUGCCCAGCGAAGUACGCAAGCCGGGUCAAUCCAAGGUGAACAAUACUUAUUAACACUUGAAAGUUUACUGGGCCCACCUCUGUAGAAGCGGUAUUUGGAUUUCGGAACAUUGUUUUUCCUAUAUUGUUUUGUGAAUGAAAUCUCAUUAUAUCUCAGUUCUAUCCCCUCUUCGAAAUUUGUUACUAGAUGAAGCCCUUCACCGAUAUUAGCUUCUCUGUUCCAAGUACUCCCUCUCUCUGACAUUGGAAACUUUUAUAUCAUGGCAGUGGUGCUGUUUUAGGAAGUGGCUCUUAAUUUUGGAACUAGGAUUAUGAAUUGUGCAACAUGGAUGGGCACUACUUUUUUUGUUUUUUGUUUACAUUCUUCAUAUCAGAUUUCGCUUACUGAACUCUUGAACCCGUUAAAAAUGACGGGUUCAUUCUAUGUUUCAGUCAAGCAUCAAGAGUUUUUAUUCAUGUUUCAUUGGGAUAUUUUGACUUUGGGUCACAUAAAAGUGACCAGAGUUGCAUUUGGGUCACCACAAAAUUUUAGUUAGAGUUUGGGUCACAAGACCGUCUUUGACGGUUGGGAAGUCAGUUAUAUCCUAAGUGACUAAAAUGAACUUAACAGUCUCCUAAUAUUACUAACUAAACCAAACGGAUCUUUAUCUUCACCAUCAGAGGACAAAAAGAUGAGAUGUGAGCAGCAGCAGCUGAACUCUUUUGAAAAGAUUAAUGAAUUAACUGAAGUGUCACCAUACUACUAAUUUUAAUAUGUGUCAUAUCCUAAGAAAUGUAAUCUUAUAUACAUUGUGGCUUUUACUAUCCUUUUUUCUGAACGAAAUUGGCUUUUACUAUCUUGCUCCCAUUAUAGCUUGAAGUUGACUGUUAGGUUCAAGUGAUUUUCCUUUUAAAUUUCAAUUUUUAGGAAUUUCUGUAUUUUUUUAAAUCUGAGUUAUUAUUGCUCUCCUCUCUUAACCAUUUUGUUUGUGUUUGAAGACGUGGAUAUGUAUUUAGGUGCGGUAAAAUAUUACCAUAACUGCAUCUAUCAAAGACGUCAAGGGAACACAAAUGAUACUAAAGAAUGUGUCCGACAAGCCUGAGUUUGUUCGACAAGAUGCCCAGCACUAAGUGGAAAUAAAGUGAUUUACUCACAAGCCUGAGUUUGUUCUUAGUUUUUCUAUGGAGGUAUUCACUCAGUUGAUGAAGAAAACAAUGCUCUUAAGUUUUCAAUGAUAAGCAUGCAUUUUAGUGUAAUGGUACCAAAAAUGGAAAUUCUAUAAUUUGCAUAAAACUUUGUAAUAUUGUACCUUUGAUUAUUUUUUUAACCACUGUAAGCUUUUUACUGUUAUUGAUUGAAUGCAAACUUAUGUUUCUCUUUU